UGGGGAAUAUUGCACAAUGGGCGCAAGCCUGAUGCAGCCAUGCCGCGUGUAUGAAGAAGGCCUUCGGGUUGUAAAGUACUUUCAGUCGGGAGGAAGGUGGUAAGGUUAAUAACCUUAUCAAUUGACGUUACCGACAGAAGAAGCACCGGCUAACUCCGUGCCAGCAGCCGCGGUAAUACGGAGGGUGCAAGCGUUAAGCGGAAUUACUGGGCGUAAAGCGCACGCAGGCGGUUGAUUGAGUCAGAUGUGAAAUCCCCGGGCUUAACCCGGGAAUUGCAUCUGAUACUGGUCAGCUAGAGUCUUGUAGAGGGGGGUAGAAUUCCAUGUGUAGCGAUGAAAUGCGUAGAGAUGUGGAGGAAUACCGGUGGCGAAGGCGGCCCCCUGGACAAAGACUGACGCUCAGGUGCGAAAGCGUGGGGAGCAAACAGG
rnacentral:rRNA from 1 species